UUUCGCCUGCAGGUUCGCCUAUAAUAUACUAUUUAUUUACUUGCGCCGGCAGCUACAGUGUUUAGAGCACCUUUAUAUCAAGACGCCUGCACCAUCUAGGGAAUUCAUUUAUAUUUUAAAUUGCAUUGUCAUCGUGAUCGGAACUAUGCUGAAAAUUUCAAGUCUCUAGCUUGUCGAAAGUUAGUUUAAAAUCGAUUGGAAAUUUGCGCGGGAUGAGUAACUUAAAUAACAGCUUGUAAAAAAUCCUCAGCUUAUAGAACCCGUUAAAAAAAUUUGAAGCGAAUCGUAGGAAGAUGAUUUGAUUGCUACAGUGGAGGAAAGCUCGUUUGUUCAACGGCGGUAUGCGAAGUAUUUCGACAUGGUUAUUGUAAAUGAGAACUUUGACAGUACCUUUCAACAAGUGGUAAAAGUACUAGACCAAAUGAGCCAUGAAGAGCAGUGGGUACCGGUCGAUUGGAUAUAUUAAAAUCCAUUAGCUAUUUACUUUUUAAACAUUUCCCCUCUAAUAAAAUUGCAAUUGCAUACAAGCUA